rnacentral:rRNA from 2 species
UCUGAUGGCAUGGACACUAAUGGGAAAGGUAUCUUUACCGCAUAACGUCUUCGGACCAAAGAGGGGGACCUUCGGGCCUCUUGCCAUCAGAUGUGCCCAGAUGGGAUUAGCUAGUAGGUGAGGUAAUGGCUCACCUAGGCGACGAUCCCUAGCUGGUCUGAGAGGAUGACCAGCCACACUGGAACUGAGACACGGUCCACACUCCUACGGGAGGCAGCAGUGGGGAAUAUUGCACAAUGGGCGCAAGCCUGAUGCAGCCAUGCCGCGUGUAUGAAGAAGGCCUUCGGGUUGUAAAGUACUUUCAGCGAGGAGGAAGGCGUUGAGGUUAAUAACCUUGGCGAUUGACGUUACUCGCAGAAGAAACACCGGCUAACUCCGUGCCAGCAGCCGCGGUAAUACAGAGGGUGCGAGCGUUAAUCGGAAUUACUGGGCGUAAAGCGCACGCAGGCGGUCUGUCAAGUCGGAUGUGAAAUCCCCGGGCUCUACCUGGGAACUGCAUUCUAAACUGGCAAGCUAUAGUCUUGUAGAGGGGGGGUAGAAUUCCAGGUGUAACGGUGAAAUGCGUAUAGAUCUGGGAGGAAUACCGGUGGCGAAAGCGGCCCCCCUGUACAAAGACUGACGCUCACGUGCGAAAGACGUGUGGAGCUAAACACGAAUUAGAUACUCCUGGUAGUCCACACCGUCAAACGAUGUUCGACAUUGUAGGUUGUUCUCCCUUUA